UUCUCUUCGCAUCCCUUCCCUGUAUCGCAGCAGCCAGGGCGGCGCGACCCAUCAACCACCGGGCGGUGACCCGCAACCUACAGCAGAUCAGGUGCAGGAUCGCCACCGCCUCCGGCCGACAAGGAUUGAGCUCCAUGGAUCCAGGCGCACCGGCCAGAUCCGUCAUCGAGGGGACGACCUCCACCGUCCCGCUACCCUGCAUCCUCGACGCGCCCAACCCCGGCCACCUCAACGACUCCGCCUCCUCAAGGGCGACCUGCACCACCGUCCUACUACCCUAGAAUUAACGCCGCCGCCGCCUCUCGGCAAUUUCUCCUACCCAGUGGUGCGGCAUCGCUUCCAUCAUCUCCAACAUCAGGUUGGUGUCUGCUCCUUUGCUCUGAAAACGUGUCAUGCUGGCCAGAUCCGUUCUCUUUGUCCUGAAGUUGGCUGGGGACUUUCCACAUGGCAAGUUUCAUUGGAUGUAUCAAAGAUAGAAAUGAGUGGAUUUGGUGUCAUACCACUCAUGUCUCGGCACUGUACCGACAAACUUUGAUUCUAUAUUGCCAUCUCAACAACACAUGGGUAACAUAUUAAAGGUGCAAUCAUGUCUUUUUUUGACACCAUGUUGAUUAUAUCAUUUUUUGUUUGAAAGAACUAUCACUAAAGUGGUCAGUGCAGUACCGUGUGUGUUGCCCAGUCGCCAGGUCGAGCUGCUGCGCUAGAUUGUCGUUGCGGAUCGCGUGCCUCCUGCCUGCUCAUGUUUGCAGCCAUCGCGCCACCUGCCGGAUUGUUGUGGCAUUAAUCAAGAAUGACGAUGUUUUCCAUACAUAACAUAGGUCCUGUCUUUAGGCAACACACAGACACACGCACACAUGAAUAUUAGAUGGAGUGGAGAGAGCAAAUGGAAGAAUCAUUGAUUGAAGGAAUACUUAGAGCACUAUCAUGUUUUAUCAACUGGAGCAGAGACGACAAAUGGAAGAAUCACAGAGUGAAGGAAAACUGAGAGCACUUUGAUGUUGACUGAACUUCAGAUGGCCGUUUUAUUAAAAGAAAAUUUUCGUAUUUUGCAGCCAGGGCUGCGCUACAGAGAGCAUUGGACCGCGUCCAUGGCAUCAUCUGUCACAGGACAACAAAUGUCACAAGAGAUCAUACGAGUGGACAUUCGCUAUGGCGUCUCAAGAGAGUAGCGAUGUCCGAGUUACCUGCCGCCCGUUGCCUUUCACGAGCCUGCUUAUGUGAGAAGAAAUAAAAUGAAUAAAAGAGUUGCUAAUGGCAUAGUAAUCAAGGUGUCAACGAUCUAAGUGGCAAUUUUACAGAGUCAAUAUGGAAAGGGGCAAUUUCUCAAAGCCACAUGAAGGAGAUGGCAAAAAUCCAAAUACUACAACUUCAUACAGUCUAGGCCCCUGGAACUUAAAAUAUUAGCAACAAUCAGUUUGCAUAAUAGUGAUGUGCUCAUUUAUCAUGGAUGGUUAUCAGAUGCAGUUCACAGAGGGUAAGGUGCCUGGAAGUAUGUAAUAGAAUUGGCUUAUGUGUGAUCACUUACCAAAUUUUAGCUUAUGUGUGAUCACUUAGCAAAUUUCUCGUAAAAUAACUAAUGGAAUGCAUAAUAUUAUAUCAUGUUCUU